rnacentral:rRNA from 2 species
UGCAGUCGAGCGGUAGAGAAGGAGCUUGCUUCUUCUUGAGAGCGGCGGACGGGUGAGUAAUGCCUAGGAAUCUGCCUGGUAGUGGGGGACAACGUUUCGAAAGGAACGCUAAUACCGCAUACGUCCUACGGGAGAAAGUGGGGGAUCUUCGGACCUCACGCUAUCAGAUGAGCCUAGGUCGGAUUAGCUUGUAGGUGAGGUAAUGGCUCACCUAGGCAACGAUCCGUAACUGGUCUGAGAGGAUGAUCAGUCACACUGGAACUGAGACACGGUCCAGACUCCUACGGGAGGCAGCAUUGGGGAAUAUUGGACAAUG